rnacentral:tRNA from 1 species
GCCUUUUUGGUGUAGUAGUCAGCACGCUCGACGCGUAUUCGAGAGGUCCGUGGUUCGAGUCCCGGCGAGGGCA